UACGUAGGGUGCUAGCGUUGUUCGGAAUUAUUGGGCGUAAAGCGCGUGUAGGUGGUUAGGAAAGUUGGAUGUGAAAGCCCUGGGCUCAACUCAGGAAGAGCAUCCAAAACUACCUAGCUGGAGGGCGAGAGAGGGAGGUGGAAUUCCUAGUGUAGAGGUGAAAUUCGUAGAUAUUAGGAGGAAUACCGGUGGCGAAGGCGGCCUCCUGGAUCGUUCCUGACACUGAGACGCGAAAGCGUGGGUAG
rnacentral:rRNA from 1 species